rnacentral:misc_RNA from 1 species
UUAAGUUCAGCGGGUGGUCCUACCUGAUUUGAGGUCAAAGAGCAAAGGGGCCUUCUCUCCUAUGGCAGCUCAGAGCCCUGGUCAGAUGCAGAUAUGUUAUCACACCUAGAGCAGAGGUCACACAAAACCGCUCAUGCAUUUCAGGGGAGCAGGACCACACAAGUCCCUGCACUGUCCCCCCAAGUCCAAGCCACACACAC